CAGACAUGAGUGGCAAACCCACAAAGAUCUGGGGUUUGCAGUGGCUAACAACUUUGCAGCUCUGUCUUCAGAUGUCUUCCGCCUUCUACACUUUUUGCAUCCUUGAGAUCUUGUUUUCAGUGAAGUGAAGCACGGAGAGGAUGAAGAAAGAUUUUUGCAUUCAAUAACUGAACUAAAAGACACAAAAUCUGCUCAAAAUUAAGGUCGACUUUCAGAAUGAAGGUGAUCGUGUUGUUUGUGUUUGUGCUGGGUGCACUCUCUGCUGCAGGUGAAGAUUUCUUUGCAAAAGUCGGGCAGAAAGUCACAUUGAACUGUGGAGUCAGCAGCUACAGACGCUCUCUGACGUGGUAUCAUAUAAAUGACUUUCUUCAUAGUGUUGAUCAGAGCGGCUUCACUCUCAAAGGCAGUGUUGAACUUGUGCAGAGGUCAGUCCUGAGACAGACGAAUCUGGAAAUCUCCAGUGUGAAAGAAACAGAUGCUGGACAGUUCACAUGUUUCGCAGAUGGGACACGUCAUAACCAUUCACUUGUUGUGCUCUCAGGCAGCCUUCCUGCUAAAACUUUGUCCUCUCUGAUUCCAAACUGGGGCAAUGUCAGAAACUUCCUGAACAGGAGCGGAGCUACGGGGUGGGCAGGACCACCACAGUCUUAAGUGUGGCCACCCUGCCAUUGCUGGAGUCCAUCAGGAGAAGGGGAAGCAUCGGAGGGGCCACGAACAUAUGCUGGGCUCUAGAAUUACAUUCAUAACUAUUAAAUAUUACAUAAGACAUAACUAUUAAUUAAUAAUUCUAUUAUAGUUAUACUAUUAACUAUAUAAACAUAAUUUUCUUUAAAAAACUACUUUAGCUGUAUUCUUUUGUUUUUUAUUUCUUUUUGUUCUCUUUGUGAUUCUCACUGUAUCUGUGGUUAUCUGUCUGUUUCCCUCUCAGUUUUGGCCUCCGUCAAACCCUCUGCUGUUCUCGAGCUAAACAAUGAGGCAAGGCUCAGGUGUGAGGUGAAAGGUCAGCACCAAGGAUGUGAAGUGAAGUGGAGAAGUCCAAAUACAUAUUCACUCACAAAUACAUCAACAGUUCAACUCAAACCUGUAAAAACCUCACAUAAUGGGGCCUGGGAGUGUAUCAUCACCUGUGGCAGGAAUACAUUUAGUGAGCCUCUGGCCAUCACAGUACAAGAGCCUCCAACUACAACAACUCCUCCAACCACCCUGAAGAACAUCACAUCAUUUGUAACGAGUGUUCAGGGUACUGCCAAUGAUUGCCCACUGGGACUCUCCUGUUCGAUGUGGUUUGCGAUUGGGGUGUGCUGCCAGUUUGGGAUGCUCCUCAUAGUUUGUGUCACUGUCUUGUGUAAGUGUAUGAGAAGAAAUACAGUAUGAGAGGAAAGGCGUUCAUCAAAUAUUUAUGUGUAGGUGUGAUAGCUUAUGAUAAAAGAAACCAAAAGAAAAUGGGUUAAACACCCCCUGCACCACUGUGUUUACAGAUUAUGGUGAACUUCUACUUAAAGUUUUUUGCCGAAUGUGUAACUGAUCAGAGUCAUGAUUUCACUCCACCAAGUUCUUAUAAAAGUCCUGGCACGCUUCACAACUGGCAAAAGUCUAAAUGAGUGUCUCAGAUUGUGUAUUACACUCUUCAGUAAAUUGGUGCAGAUUUACAGAUGAGGUGUCGGUUUGUUUUCUGGGCCUUCCUGGGUGAAACUGAGAACCAACUAAGAUCUCUCAGACAUCUGUUCUGGCUUUACACACAGAUUACACUUUAUUGCCAAAAGUAUUCACUCGUCUACCUUGACAUGCAUAUGAACUUGAGUGACAUCCCAUUCUUAAUCCAUAGGGAUUAAUAUGAUGUAGGACCAACUGUGGCAGCUGAAACUCUUACAGGAAGGCUUUCCAAAUGUUUAGGAGUGUUUAUAGGAGUUGUUGGUGCUUCUGGACACGUGUCUAGAAGCACAUUUGUGAGGUCAGACACUGUUGUUGGACUAGAAGGCCUGGCUCGGAGUCUCUGCUCUAAUUCAUCCCAAAGUUGUUCUGUCGGGUGGAGGUCGGGACUCUGUGCAGGCCAGUCACGUUGUUCCAACAGGAACGGGAAGAGACCAUCCCCAAACUGUUCCCACAAUGUUGGAAGAAUGAAAUUGUCCAAAAUGUCUUGGUAUGCUGAAGCAUUAAGACUUCCUUUUACUGGACAACAAUAAUAUCCCCUCCACUUAACUCUACACUUGGCCAAAUACGAUCUGACAAGAAUCGUUCCCCUGGCAACCGUCCAUUACAUUGUCCAGAUGGAGAAUCUUGAUUCAUCACUCCAGAGAACAUGUCUCCACUGCUCUAGAGUCCAGUUGUAGUGCGCUUUAUGCUGAUCUGAAGGUCUGUAGCAAUUAACUCUCCUCUGUGAUUUUAUGUGUCCUACAUAGGGAUGGGUAUCAUUUAGGUUUUAUCCGAUACCAGUACCAAACCGGUACUUUUGAAACGGUGCCGGUGCUUAAAGAAUGGAGAACACAAACUUUGUCCAAAAACCUCUCA